rnacentral:rRNA from 1 species
CUCUUAGAUGUUCUGGGCCGCACGCGUGCUACACUGAGUGGAUCAGCGGGUCAGGUUGCGCGAAAGCGCUUCCUAAUCUUUAAAUCCGCUCGUGAUGGGGAUUGACGGUUGCAAUUUUCUGUCAUGAACGAGGAAUACCUUGUAAGCGCGGGUCAUCAUCCCGCGCUGAAUACGUCCCUGCCCUUUGUACACACCGCCCGUCGCUCCUACCGAUUGAGUGGUCCGGUGAGGCUUUGGGAUCUGAGCGGAAAGAGCGUUUCGCUGUUUCUGCUCGGAAAACUCAGUCGAACCUUAUCAUUUAGAGGAAGGAGAAGUCGUAACA